rnacentral:sRNA from 1 species
GCCAGGCAUGGUGGCACAUGCCUGUAAUCCCAAUGGCUCAGGAGGCUGAGAGAGGAGGAUUGUGAGUUCAUAGCUUCAGCAAAAGCAAGGCUCUAAACAACUCAGUGAGACCCUGUCUCUA